UUGAAACCGAAGUUGUUUUCCAUAUCUCUUUAUUUUAUUAUUUUAGUUGUAUUAUGCUCCUUUCAAAAUCUUCACCUUAGUAAUUUUAUCUUCCAUUCAUUAUACAUACUACCACUUUUAUUUUCUCUUUGUAAAUAUCUUCCACCAUUGUAUGAGUUUGAUUUUAAGCAUACUUUCCUUGAGGAGAUGAUCUAUGAAUUUUAUUCCUAAUUAUUACGUGACAUCCUUUUGUAUUUGGGAUAGUCUUUGUGCUGCUUGUUUUGGAGCGAGUCACUCCUCCUCCAUAGAACAAAGAACGCUCCUUAAGAGUUACACACAACCAUUCAAGAGAGAACAUUCUUGGUGAGCUGGAUGAAUGUAUGAAAUUUUGAAAAAGAUUGCUAAAUUAAGUUUCUUUCAUGUGUUAUUUGUCGCAGGUUGAACCCAAGAAAGUAGAUGAAGCCUUAGAUGAUGAAAGUUGGGUCAAUGUCAUACACGAAGUACUUCAUCAGUUCACAAGAAAUGAUGUUUGGGAGUUGGUACCUAGACCUGAAAAUUACAACAUUAUUAGAACCAAGUAGAUUUUCAAAAAUAAGUCAGAUAAACAUGGAACCAUUAUAAGAAACAAGGCUAGGCUGGUUGCACAAGGCUACACACAAGUGGAAGAAAUUGACUUUGAUGAAACCUUUGCCCUAGUUGCUCGUUUCGCAUAAUUCUUGCCAUUACUUGUCAUCUAAAUUUCAAGUUAUAUCAAAUGGAUAUCAAGAGUGCAUUUUCAAAUGGCAUUCUAUAAGAAGAGAGGACAAGCUUAUAGGACUCUCUUCAUCAAAAGAUCUAGCUAUUCGGAUGCGGAUUGGGCUGGAAAUGCUGAUGAUAGAAAGAGAACUCCGGGGGAUGUUUCUAUGUAUGUGGAAAUAUUGUAACUUGGAUGAGCAAAAAAAAAAAAAAAUCAAUUUCCUUGUCUACAGCUGAAGCUGAGUUUAUAGCAAUUGGAAGUUGUUGCACUCAACUGCUUUGGAUGAAAAAGAUACUUCAAGAUUAUGGGUUUUCUUAAGAUACUAUGACUAUUUAUUGUAAUAACUCAAGUGCAGUUAGUAUCUCCAAAAAUCCUGUUCAGCACUCUUGGAUCAAGUAUAUAGACAUUAGACACCAUUUUUAUUA